GACGAACGCUGGCGGCGUGCUUAACACAUGCAAGUCGAACGGUGACCCAGGGCUUGCCCUGGUGAUCAGUGGCGAACGGUGAGUAACACGUGGGCAACCUGCCCCUGACUUCGGGAUAACUCCUCGAAAGAGGAGCUAAUACCGGAUACGACCACUUCGGACAUCCGAUGGUGGUGGAAAGUUUUUCGGUCAGGGAUGGGCCCGCGGCCUAUCAGCUAGUUGGUGGGGUAAUGGCCUACCAAGGCGACGGCGGGUAGCCGGCCUGAGAGGGCGACCGGCCACACUGGGACUGAGACACGGCCCAGACUCCUACGGGAGGCAGCAGUGGGGAAUAUUGCGCAAUGGGCGAAAGCCUGACGCAGCGACGCCGCGUGAGGGAUGAAGGCCUUCGGGUUGUAAACCGUCUUUCAGCAGGACGAAGCGAAAGUGACGGUA
rnacentral:rRNA from 1 species